UAGCGUUACAAUUAAUAUGCACUUUAACGUUAUGUUGUUAAUGGACAUAAAUCCUGCAGUAAUCAAUUAAUUAACUACAAAUAAAACAAUAAGCCUACAAUUAGAACACUGAUCUCUCUUCUAUCCCUGUCAAUGCUCCGUUUUCUCUUCCAAAGUGAAACUGCUCACAAAUCAACCUCAGCAUGGAUACAAAACCGAACUUCUCUCUCACUCAUCACACAGACAAACAAGACCCUUUUCUUUCUCAACCUGUAAGCAAAGAUGAACACCUCACGAUGUUCUUCGUCAAAGCCUUAGCGUAACCAUAACGAAAAACAAACUCUGAUUUCAACAAUGAAAUCCAAGACAAGAAAACCAUGACCGAACAAACACUAUAUCCAAACUUAAAUCAGAACUUAGAGCUUAGAUCUACCAACAAAUUUCUACGGAUCACAACAAAAUUUCCUAUGAAUCUACAACAAUCCGGGCUACAUGAUACUAUCGCUGCCUCAGAGAGGUCGAAUAAAGAGUGAAAGACGUCACCGGAGACUUGCGACUCCGGCGAGAAUCCGACGGAUGUUUACCUCAAGUGAGAGGUUUAACUCUAUUCCAAAAUGAGCUUCGACGUGAAUGAUCAAAAGGAAUUUUUAGAGAAGAGCUUUGAGUGAGGUUAUGGGGAUCUUUUUGCAGCGUUUCUGUCAGCGUGGCAAUAUUUUCUCCUCUUUUUCCCUUGCAGCGAUCGGGGUUGCUACCAAGAGUAACGAAGCUCUAGGAAGGAGUCCCCUUUCAAUCGGUUAGAUCCUCUUUUUAUAGAGUGAAAUGAGGUUCCCAAAAUCCUGUGCGGAUCAUUGGCAGCUGGUGCAAAAAGAAUCAUUCCGUUGGCAGGGGAUUUUCCUUAGAUUUCGUGGGGACCAAAGGUUUCUAUGUUGCUUUAAUCAUGGCAACACUAUAUACAAUUCCAGAAGCAACUGGCUCGGCUGCGAUCACUAGAGUUUCAAAUGCAUUAGGAGCUGGAUAUCCACAAGCAACACGAUUGUCUGUGUAUACUUCUAUGACUCUUGCUCCAGAUUUGCUUUGGUGUGAACUUUGUCUGGUUGCAGGACAUUGGCUUGGAAAUGCAAUCCUCCUUAAAGCUUUUGUUACCUACUGACUUGCAUCAUGAUUUACGCAAAUCAUGCAUCCCUGGUUGGCUAAGUCACAUUGCCUCUCAUGGUUUAUGUGUCCAUGUGAGCAUGUGAUGGGUUUACAUUACUCAUAGUGCCAUGGUCGGUUAGCUCAUUUGGUUUCAAUGCCUGAUUAUGAAGCUAUUUUGUUAUCCAUUUGAUUGCUGUUGCAGGUUGCAGUUUAGUCAAAAUUCUUCUUGGAUGGUCUGGACUGUUGUGUGUAGCUUAAAUUUGUAGCAGAAUUUGGUUGUAACUUUGGUGAACCUUCUGUUGUAACAGGUAGUCUCGAAACCAUGUGUGCAGCCCAAUUCCACAUCUAUGCAUUGUGUCAACGCCGACGAUGAUAGGUGUCCUGCAGCAGGUUAUUUGUACAUUAGUUUGAAGGGUUGUAAUGUAUUGUUCUCCUUGUAUUUGAUGCUUUUUGUGGUUUUGUAUUGACAGUCCGGGUCUUGUGACGACAUCUCUUCCUGCAUUCUCAAAUGGCACUGACUUUUGGAUUUAAAAUCCUGUGUGUUAUCGUCUCCUGCUAGAAGGUGUCUUGCGUGAAAAAGCCUUUGGGAGGUUAUUCAAAGUCUCCCUAGUAUCUCACGCUUGGACCGACCAUCAGUUAGAACUAACUAGGGUUAUUUAUAUGUUUGUGUACUGGUUUUGAUUAUGGCUGUAAUGCUUGUAAAGCAAUUGACUUAGUAUGUCAAAACAACGAUGUAACCGAUUGUAAUGUGAUGAUGCGUCUGGUUUUUGUUUUGUCAACCGUUGUAACACCCAUUGUAAGGUUCCUUAUUGCCAAUUCUCGCUUGA